GUCAAUAUCAUGGUACUUAUCACAUUGUAGUUACGUGUUUCCAUUUCUGUUUCUCACAUUAGUCUAAAAACUUGUGAAAGACAGGGAGUGUGUCUGAUUCAGCUUUGUGUCUCUAUUUCACAGCUGAAGGACCUGGCCCACAGUGUGCCCAGAGAAGUUUGAUUGAAUGGUUCAUUCACUUUACUCAGUCUGGCAAUGUUGGGGGAGAUGGCCAUGAAUUUCAUUGCUUUCCUUCCCUGCUAAUCUUAUUUAAAGGAUUCAUUGGCUUUAAGGACUUUGCCUCAUCCAAGGCUUCAUUUGUUUCAGAGAAAGCCCAAAGACUGUAACCUGCAGUCAUUUGUCAUUUUUUUGAGGUCUCAAAUGAUCAGAUAAACCUGGAAGCUAGUGAGUAGACGUGAGUUAUUUUAGCAAGCAAAUGAGCCUAGCUGACCUCUCGCAUCCAUUUUCAACAAUGCCUUGGUUACCUCCAUUCACAACUGUGUAACUCAUGUGUACUGGGAAUCCUGUGAGAUUGUAGGAGGAAGUCCUGGGGAAAAUUAAUGCUAUUUGAGAAUUUGGAGAAACUGAAAAGCCUUGAAACACAUCCUUUGCAGAUGUCCAGGAUCUAGUGGAGUCAGCACUGGCUGUCUUCAUUUGUUCACAAUCAGCUUCUUGCUUGACUCCCUGCAUCUGGCUUCCUGUCCUCCAUCCCCUGAAAACCACAUGCUCUGAGGUUAAUGAAAGCCUCUUUGGGGCUUAAAUAAUGGGACCUCUGCAGCAUUUCACUCCCUUGUUCAUGAAGUUCUCUUCUCCCUUGGCAUUCAUGACAUCUGUUUCCUGAUUCUCUUGCUUCUCUGGUUGUGCCUUCUCAAUCUUCUUUGCAGACUCUGCUUCCUGGGCCUAUCUCUUAAAUAUUGAGGUUCCUUGGGACUUGGUGAUAGACCCUCCUUUCUCUCUUUACCCUCUCAGGGUAAUGUCAUCCACGCCCAUGGCUUCAGGAACCAUCUCUGCACCAACAUCCACAUUCAUGUCUCCAGGCCAGACCUCUCUCUUAGGCUUCAGCGUAUCUUUCCAACUGCCAACUGGACCUCUCCACUUGAAUUACAUCCCAUAGGCACCUCAGAUUCAUCACAUUAAACAGUGAACUCUAGCUGGGUGCUGUGGCUCAUGCCUGCAACCCCCACGCUUUGGCAGGCCAAGGCAGGAGGAUUAGUUGAGCCCAGGAGUUUGAGGCUACAGUGAGCUAUGAUCAUAACACCACAUUCCAGCCUGGACAACAGAGUAAGACCCUGUCUCUUAAAAAACAAAAACAAAACUGAAAAAACCUUAAAAGAUAAACACCAAACUUAUCACCCUCUCAUCCAAACUGCUCUUCUUUGAGAGUUUCCAAAGAAUCAUCUGUUAAUUCCUUCUUCUCCCCUAACUCUUCACAUGUAAAUACCCAGCCACCAAGUUCAGUUGAUAUCCCCCUGCAAAAUUGAUUUAUCUUGGCCUGUCUUUGCUAUUCUCCUAAUCAAGGCAGUUUCUUAAUUUUCCGUCCUUGCCCUUUAAACUAUUUUCCACAUAGCAGCCAAAAA
rnacentral:lncRNA from 1 species